UACGGGAGGCAGCAGGGGGAAUAUUGCACAAUGGGCGCAAGCCUGAUGCAGCCAUGCCGCGUGUAUGAAAAAGGCCUUCGGGUUGUAAAGUACUUUCAGUCGUGAGGAAGGUGUUAAGGUUAAUAACCUUAGCAAUUGACGUUAGCGACAGAAGAAGCACCGGCUAACUCCGUGCCAGCAGCCGCGGUAAUACGGAGGGUGCGAGCGUUAAUCGGAAUUACUGGGCGUAAAGGGCACGCAGGCGGUUAAUUAAGUUGGAUGUGAAAUCCCCGGGCUUAACCUGGGAAUGGCAUUCAAGACUGGUUAGCUAGAGUCUUGUAGAGGGGGUUAGAAUUCCAUGUGUAGCGGUGAAAUGCGUAGAGAUGUGGAGGAAUACCGGUGGCGAAGGCGGCCCCUGGACAAAGACUGACGCUCAUGUGCGAAAGCGUGGGGAGCGAAACAGGGAUUAGAUACCCGU
rnacentral:rRNA from 1 species